rnacentral:rRNA from 1 species
CUUUCUACAGGCUUAACACAUGCAAGUCGAGGGGCAGCAUGGUCUUAGCUUGCUAAGGCCGAUGGCGACCGGCGCACGGGUGAGUAACGCGUAUCCAACCUGCCUUACACUCUUGGACAGCCUUCUGAAAGGGAGAUUAAUACAAGAUGUUAUCAUGAGUAAGCAUUUUCGCAUGAUUAAAGGUUUACCGGUGUAAGAUGGGGAUGCGUUCCAUUAGAUAGUAGGCGGGGUAACGGCCCACCUAGUCUUCGAUGGAUAGGGGUUCUGAGAGGAAGGUCCCCCACAUUGGAACUGAGACACGGUCCAAACUCCUACGGGAGGCAGCAGUGAGGAAUAUUGGUCAAUGGACGAGAGUCUGAACCAGCCAAGUAGCGUGAAGGAUGAAGGUUCUAUGGAUUGUAAACUUCUUUUAUACGGGAAUAAACGGAUCCACGUGUGGAUUUUUGCAUGUACCGUAUGAAUAAGGAUCGGUUAACUCCGUGCCAGCAGCCGCGGUAAUACGGAGGAUCCGAGCGUUAUCCGGAUUUAUUGGGUUUAAAGGGAGCGUAGAUGGGUUGUUAAGUCAGUUGUGAAAGUUUGCGGCUCAACCGUAAAAUUGCAAUUGAUACUGGCAGUCUUGAGUACAGUUGAGGUAGGCGGAAUUCGUGGUGUAGCGGUGAAAUGCUUAGAUAUCACGAAGAACUCCGAUUGCGAAGGCAGCUUACUAACCUGUAACUGACAUUGAUGCUCGAAAGUGUGGGUAUCAAACAGGAUUAGAUACCCUGGUAGUCCACACGGUAAACGAUGAAUACUCGCUGUAGGCGAUAUACAGUCUGCGGCCAAGCGAAAGCAUUAAGUAUUCCACCUGGGGAGUACGCCGGCAACGGUGAAACUCAAAGGAAUUGACGGGGGCCCGCACAAGCGGAGGAACAUGUGGUUUAAUUCGAUGAUACGCGAGGAACCUUACCCGGGCUUAAAUUGCAACCGAAUAUGGCGGAAACGCUAUAGCUAGCAAUAGCGGUUGUGAAGGUGCUGCAUGGUUGUCGUCAGCUCGUGCCGUGAGGUGUCGGCUUAAGUGCCAUAACGAGCGCAACCCUUGCCGAUAGUUACUAACAGGUCAUGCUGAGGACUCUGUCGGGACUGCCAUCGUAAGAUGUGAGGAAGGUGGGGAUGACGUCAAAUCAGCACGGCCCUUACGUCCGGGACUACACACGUGUUACAAUGGGGGGUACAGAGGGCUGCUACCACGCAAGUGGAUGCCAAUCCCAAAAACCUCUCUCAGUUCGGAUUGAAGUCUGCAACCCGACUUCAUGAAGCUGGAUUCGCUAGUAAUCGCGCAUCAGCCACGGCGCGGUGAAUACGUUCCCGGGCCUUGUACACACCGCCCGUCAAGCCAUGGGAGCCGGGGGUACCUGAAGUGCGUAACCGCAAGGAGCGCCCUAGGGUAAAACUGGUGACUGGGGCUA